rnacentral:rRNA from 1 species
GACGAACGCUGGCGGCGUGCUUAACACAUGCAAGUCGAGCGGUAAGGCCCUUUCGGGGGUACACGAGCGGCGAACGGGUGAGUAACACGUGGGUGACCUGCCCUCAGCUCUGGGAUAAGCCUGGGAAACCGGGUCUAAUACUGGAUAUGACUCCAUGACGCAUGUUGUGGGGUGGAAAGCCUUGUGCGGCUGAGGAUGGGCCCGCGGCCUAUCAGCUUGUUGGUGGGGUGANGGCCUACCAAGGCGACGACGGGUAGCCGGCCUGAGAGGGCGACCGGCCACACUGGGACUGAGACACGGCCCAGACUCCUACGGGAGGCAGCAGUGGGGAAUUUUGGACAAUGGGCGCAAGCCUGAUCCAGCCAUGCCGCGUGCGGGAAGAAGGCCU